CGCUGCCCAGCCCCAGCCCGGCAGAGCGGCCCGGGAGCCCCGGGUGACUGCCCCGGACUUCAGGGCCCGGCUUCGCUUUCCCCCUGCAGGACACUCUCGGUACUGCAUGGCCCCGGGCCCCAAGGGCAGGGAGCGAGACCCUGGAGUGAAGACCCCCCGGCCCCGCCAGGUGUGAUGGGGGGGCCCUGGGGAUAGGGUCCCCGAAGCAAAGCUGAGACUCAGAGGUGGGCUGCGGAGCCACGCCGUCCGCAGGGGCGGUGGCUACAGGUAGUUGUCUUCUGCGGCAUCGCUCCCGCCCCUGGAGCCCCGGGGCUCAUCCUCGUCGUCGUCAUCGGGGGCCAGCGCCUCGAUGUCGUGCGUGAUGUCAGCCAACAGCCGGUGGAAGGCCUGUGCCUCGGGCCGCUGCGCCGCGCCAUCGUAGCUGCGCACUGCGGAGGCCGACGUGGAGCUCAUGCUGCGCUUGAUGCGGCCGAAGCUGUCAGUGAGGAUGCCGCCCUCGCGGAUGCCCACGCCCUCCAGGAAGCCCUCGAAGUAGCCGAUGUCCUGGUCCGGGAUGAAGGGCCGCAUCCCUGCGAGCCGAGGGGCGUGCCUCCAGGCUUUUGCUUGUGCCAUUCCCACCACCGGCCCCAGCUCACCGUGACCAUGUAAUCCUGUAACUGCUCCAAGCCCAGACCGCUGUGGUCGCUGCCGCUGCAGUGGGAGCCAUGGAAAGAAGGUGUGGACGUGCCGCUGUAACAUGCUUCAAAGGUGUCCUGGGAGCCAUUGCUGCAGGCAUGGGAAGAAGGGCCUUCACUCACCUCCCUCCAGCUCCUGGCCCUCAGGCAGGCUGAAGGUAGGAGGCCUCAUCCUAGACUGCAUGCUGGCCUCCAAGGCCUCGCACACCCUGGCCCCUGGCACCUCUCAAGUCUCAUCUGUCACUGUGCUUGCCUUUGCCUUUGCUCUUUGUGCUUCGCGCCCCCCACCCCCCUUCUCCUUCUUCCUCUACUAUCUCCUCACCUCUGGGUGUUUGCACCUGCUGGUCCCUCUGCCUGGAUUGCCUCCUUUCCCCUCCCUUUUGCACAGCUAACUCUUACUCAUCCCGUGAUCUUAAAUGUCAUCUCCUCAGGAGAGUGUUCUCUAAUUCCCCUAGGUUGGGUUAGAACCUCUGUUGAACAUGCUCCCUCAGUCCAUGGCCUACCUGUGACAUGCAUGGCCUUUCCAGGUACCCCCAAGCAUCCUCUCUGACCACUCUCUCCCUCACACCAUUUAACACAGCCACAGUGGCCACCUGCUGACCCUCAAACCCACUAAGCUCUAUCCUGUUCAAAAUUUUUUUUUUUUUUUUUUUUGAGACAGAUUCUUGCUCUGUCACUGAGGCUGGAGUGCAGUGGUGCGGUCUUGGCUCACUGCAGCCUCCGCCUCCCGGGUUCAAGCAAUUUUCAUGCCUCAGCCUCCUGAGUAGCUGGGACUACAAGCAUGUGCCACCCAGCCAAUUUUUGUAUUUUUAGUAGAGACAGGGUUUCACCAUGUUUGUCCAGGCUGCUCUCAAAUGCCUCACCUCAAGCAAUCUGCCCACCUCAGCCUCCCAAAAUGCUGGGAUUACAGGCGUGAGCCACCACGCCUGGUUAGUUCAGGAUUCUUACAUUUGCUGUUCCGUCUACCUGGAACACUCUUCCCCCUUUCAUCCUCCAGGCCUCAGUUCAUGUGCCAUCACCUCUGAGAGGCCCUCCUGACUCUCCAGCUGAGUUGCGGUCCCCCUCUGCCUCUCUUAUAGCACCCUGAGCCUCCCUUUAGUACUUAUUACCAUUAAUGAUUGUUACUGUUAAAUUGUGAUUUCAUUGCCUCCUAUGCUAGACUGUAAACUUGACAAGAGCAGGGACUUUGGUUUUCUUCAUUUGUUGAACACCUACUAUGUGCCAGGCCCAGGUUUUGCCCUCUGUCUUGUGUCCAUCUGUAUCCCCAGCACACAGCAGAGUGCCUGGCACAUAGGAGGUACUCAAGAAAUAUUGCUUAAUAAAAACUCAACCUUA
rnacentral:antisense_RNA from 1 species